CGUACGUGCCGCUCAGGUUUUCGGUGUCAGUUCGUUUGUUAACAGUGUUUGGUGUGUUCAAGAUGUGGCAUGACUCUAAUAUGGCUAAAUUCUGUUUUUUGUUGCUUGAGUCUAAUACUUCUACCAUAUCUAAUAGAAAAUUGUGGUUGUUGGUGAUACAGUGAUCUAGUAGCGCUGUUUUCUCUCUCAGUCUUGCCAUCUCAUGAUCCGUCGUAGGAGGUAAAACAGAUCGAUACUGAUCGAUUUGAAAAAGUGCGCCAACCAACGAACUCAACCACUGAAGUGAAGACGUGCGACUAUGUUUAAAACAUACAUAACCUCACGAGUAAACGGAGGGAUUGUAUCUAUCCUUUGAAAAAGGCACAAUAUAUGUGACCGAAACGUCAGGUGUUGAACCAAUAUCCGUUUAUGAUUACAUAGAGACUGGAAGCCGAAAAUCCCCGCUUGCAUAAUACCAAUCACAGUCGAUCCCCUUAC